UGUUUGCAGAGAAAUGAUGCAUAGUAUAGUUCAGAUGAAGUCUUUGUGAUUAAUUGCUCAAAUUCUUUCGCUUCUAUCUGAUGCCAGUA
rnacentral:snoRNA from 1 species